rnacentral:rRNA from 1 species
AAAGACUUGACGGUGCUUCACAACAACCUAGAGGAGCCUGUCUUAUAACCGAUACCCCACGAUUAACCCAACCCACCCUAGCCAAUCAGUCUAUAUACCGCCGUCGCCAGCUCACCUUGCAAAAGAACUAAAGUGAGCAAAAUGAAUUUUCUCCAAUACGACAGGUCGAGGUGUAACCUAUGAGUGGGUAAAAGAUGGGCUACAUUUUCUAACACAGAACACACGAAUCCACUAUGAAACUAGAAACUGAAGACGGAUUUAGCAGUAUGAUAAGAAUAGAAUGCUCA